UGAGACACGGACCAGACUCCUAGGGGGGCCAGCGGUGAGGAAUAUUGGUCAAUGGGGGGGAUCUUGACCCAGCCAAUUCGCGUGAAGGAAGACUCCCUUAUGGGUUGUAAAAUUUUUUUAUCCAGGAAUAAAAAGGUUUACGUGUAGGCCAUUGCAGGUUCUGUAUGAAUAAGCAUCGGCUAACUCCGUGCCAGCAGCCGCGGUAA
rnacentral:rRNA from 1 species